UCCGGCGGCGAUAGUGCAGUAGCUCCACCUGAACCCAUGCCGAACUCAGAAGUGAAAUGCUGUAAUGCCGAUGGUA
rnacentral:rRNA from 1 species